rnacentral:rRNA from 1 species
ACUUGAAUUGAAGAGUUUGAUCAUGGCUCAGAUUGAACGCUGGCGGCAGGCUUAACACAUGCAAGUCGAACGGUAGCAGGAGAAAGCUUGCUUUCUUGCUGACGAGUGGCGGACGGGUGAGUAAUGCUUGGGAAUCUGGCUUAUGGAGGGGGAUAACGACGGGAAACUGUCGCUAAUACCGCGUAAUAUCGAAAGAUUAAAGUGUGGGACCUUCGGGCCACAUGCCAUAGGAUGAGCCCAAGUGGGAUUAGGUAGUUGGUGGGGUAAAGGCCUACCAAGCCUGCGAUCUCUAGCUGGUCUGAGAGGAUGACCAGCCACACUGGAACUGAGACACGGUCCAGACUCCUACGGGAGGCAGCAGUGGGGAAUAUUGCGCAAUGGGGGGAACCCUGACGCAGCCAUGCCGCGUGAAUGAAGAAGGCCUUAGGGUUGUAAAGUUCUUUCGGUAUUGAGGAAGGUUGAUGUGUUAAUAGCACAUCAAAUUGACGUUAAAUACAGAAAAAGCACCGGCUAACUCCGUGCCAGCAGCCCCGGAAAAACGGAAGGGGCCAACGUUAAUCCGGAUAACUGGGCGUAAAGGGAACGCAGGGGGUUAUUUAAAUGAGGUGGGAAAAGCCCCGGGCUUAACCUGGGAAUUGCAUUUCCGAACGGGGAAACAUAAAUAAUUUAAGGGGAGGGGGAAAAUUCCCCCGUGGUAACGGUGAAAAUGCCUAAAAAUUUGGGAAGAAAAACCAAAGGGGAAAAGCCACCCCCCUUGGGGAAAUGACAGGACCCUCUCUUGUCCAAAAAACCGGGGGGGAACAAAAAGAGAUAUAAAACCCCCGGGGUAACCCCCCACCCUUAUAAACACCUCUCCACAUUUGUGGGGGGGGGGGGGGGUUAUAAACCCUCUGGGGCCCGCCCCUACAACCUAAAACGGGAGAAAAAAAAUACACCACACCCCGCCCGGGGUGGGAGGAAAAACGCGCGCGCCCCCGCGGAGAGGGGA